UACGAAGGGGGCAAGCGUUGUUCGGAAUUACUGGGCGUAAAGGGCGCGCAGGCGGCUGAUCAAGUCAGAUGUGAAAGCCCCGGGCUCAACCUGGGAAUAGCAUUUGGGACUGGUCGGCUAGAGUUCGGGAGAGGAGAGUGGAAUUCCCAGUGUAGAGGUGAAAUUCGUAGAUAUUGGGAAGAACACCGGUGGCGAAGGCGGCUCUCUGGACCGAUACUGACGCUGAGGAGCGAAAGUGUGGGGAGCGAACAGG
rnacentral:rRNA from 1 species